rnacentral:RNase_P_RNA from 1 species
CAAGUGGACGAGACAGCGGCGUGCGGCUUUGCCCGCAUGAGGAAAGUCCGGGCUCCAUCGGGCGGGAUAGCUGCUAACGGCAGCCGAGGGCGACCUUAGGGAAAGUGCAACAGAGAUAUACCGCCUGCCUUUUGGCAGGUAAGGGUGGAAAGGCGAGGUAAGAGCUCACCGGCGUUCCGGAGACGGAGCGGCCCUGCAAACCCUAUCCGGAGCAACACCGAUAAAAGGCAAUACGGCGGCCCGUCGUGCCUUUGAAAGCGUGGCUGGAGCUGUAGGGCGACCUGCAGCCAAGAUAGAUCGUUGUCUAAAACAGAACCCGGCUUAUUGUCCGGUUGAAGG